rnacentral:rRNA from 1 species
AGCAGCCGCGGUAAUUCCAGCUCCAAUAGCGUAUAUUAAAGUUGUUGCAGUUAAAAAGCUCGUAGUUGAAUUUCGGGGUCAGUAGAUUGGUCGUGCCACUGGUAUGUACUGGUCUUACUGGCUCCUCCUUCCUGAUGAACCGUAAUGCCAUUAAUUUGGUGUUGCGGGGAAACUGGACUGUUACUUUGAAAAAAUUAGAGUGUUUAAAGCAGGCUCACGCUUGAAUACAUUAGCAUGGAAUAAUGAAAUAGGACGUUCGAUCUUAUUUUGUUGGUUUCUAGGAUUGACGUAAUGAUUAAUAGGGAUAGUUGGGGGCAUUAGUAUUCAAUUGUCAGAGGUGAAAUUCUUGGAUGUAU